ensembl:lncRNA
GUGGUUUCUUUUCUUUUCUUCUUUCUGAGACAAAGUGUCUAAAAAAUGCAGUGUUGCCCAAGCCAGCCUCGAACUCCUGGGCCCCAGUGAUCCUCCCACCUCAGCCUCCUAAGUAACCAGGACUAUAGGCACACCACCACGCCCUGCUACUCUGGCAGUUUUUGAUAAGGUUAUAAGUUUCUUAUAAAAUUAAACACACCACUAUGAGCAUGCCCAGGUCAUUGGCCAGAGAGAAAUGAAAAUGUUCCUUCACCCAAAGACUUGUUAAUGGCAGUGGUAUUCAUAGAGUCCAAAAUAGAAAUAGCCCUGGUUGUAUCUAUCAAUAGGAGAAUGGAAAGACUGCAACUCACAGGUGAAAAGGAAUGGGCUAUGAGAGGCUCCAAACCAAGGGUGCAGAGGGGUGUCUCCAAAACACUGAGCCCAGUGAGAGAAACCAGAGCCACAGACCCACAGGCUGCCCACUUCAUGUGUCCCCAGGGCCUACAGCAGUGUGCAGGCCCAUGGCAGAUGUCCAACAAAUUCUGCUGAAUGAAUGGAGCUGGAGCUGCCUGCCUGUUCCACCCUGUUUGUGGAACAACCACCCCGUUCCACAAACUGCAAAGCUAACCACUUGUGUAGCUGUGAGGAAAGGGGCAGUCUUUAAGACUGUGCAUUCUGCUCCACCCAUGAGAGCCCCUUCCCCUCCCCAUCUCCCUUGGAGAGACCUGGUUCCAGGCCCUGAGUGGAUUGUCAGUGGCUCUGUAAGCCUGAAGGACCUCCACCUCCCUCUGCCUCAGUCUCCCCAUCUGUGGCAUGAGGUUAGCCAAGGUAACCUUCCAGCCCGGCUUCAACUGAACAGUGCACAUACUCACAGCAGGAUGUGUUAACAUACGAACUUCACUCAGCAGGUCUGGGGUGGGGCUGGAGAUUCAGAAUUUCUUGUUUAUUUAUUAUUCCUAUUUAUUAUUUCUAUUUUUUUAAAUUAAUUAAUUUAUUUACUUUCUUUUUUUUUUGAGACAGGGUCUCACUCUGUCGCCCAGGCUGGAGUGCAGUGGCGUGCUCUCGGGUCACUACAACCUCCACCUCCCAGGUUCAAGCGAUUCUCCUGCCUCAGCCUCCUGAGUAGCUGGGACUACAGGCAUUUGCCGCCAUGCCUAGCUAAUUUUUUGUAUUUUUAGUAGAUACGGUGUUUCACUGUGUUGACCAGGCUGGUCUCAAACUCCUGACCUCAAGUGGUCUGGCCGCCUCAGACUCCCAAAGUGCUGGGAUUACAGGUAUGAGCCACUGUACCUGGCCAGAAAGGAUAAAUGCUUGAGGUGAUGGAGAUCCCAAUUACCCUGAUUUAAUCAUAGCAUAUUAUAUGCAGGUUAUCAAAAUAUCACGUGGACCCCCAAAAUACAUACAACUAUUACAUAUCAAUUUUUAAAAUAACAAAAAGAAAAGAGAAAAACUCCCUUAUUAUCUGAAUACGUCGCAUUCUGGGACAUUGGGGCUUCAGGGGUGGGUGUCCCCUCUCUGCCCACCUUCCCUUUAUGUUUGCGGUAAUUGAUGCCCAGAGAGGUUCAGUGAUUUGUCCACAGUCACAUAGCAAGUUAGCUGCCAAGUCUGGAUCUGAGCCGGACUCUAUGUGCUUUCCAGGAAAUCACAUGUCAGAGACUUCUUGGUCCCAUUUAGAAGUCCCAAGUCAUGCAUGGUGGUCAGGAGCUGAGCACAUGGGCACCGCAGGGCAUUAAAGCCUGAAGGCUGAACAAACAGAUUCCGCCUGUGUGUCAUAAGCACGGUGAGAGCCAGUGGAUGGCAGAAUUAUUACUGUGCUCCAAGGCAGUUGGACUUGGGCAAAAUUUGGCUCAAACAAAAGGUUAUUAUAACCCAAGUGAAGAUUUUUUUUCUUCUUACUUCCCUAGACCAUCCGUAAGGAAAAUCGGGGUCCCUGCAGGCAGCUGUCCCACAUCUUGUCGGUAAGGUCACACACUAAAUGACAGAGGUCUUUGGGCUCAUGUCCAAAACGAGACACCCCUCUCACCCUCCCCCUGGCUGUGUGGCGAUCUCCUUCCUGCCUCAUCUCUGCGGCUCUGUCAUCACCUCUUAGCUUUUGCUGCUCCUCUGGCCCAUGGGAAAGAGCAGGGCUCAUAGCUUAGGGUCUGAUACACUUGGAUUCAAAUCCCAGCUCUACUGUGUGGUCCUGGGUAGGGUGGCUCAUCCUCUCUAAGCCUCGGCUUCCUCCAUCCGGAACCUCCAUCCUAACAGCCUCCAUCCAGGCUAGUAGGAGAGGUCCAUGAGAGAGUAUCUGUGAGCACCUGGCUCAGUGCCUGGCACACAGUAGGAGCUCAGUAAAUAUUGAUGCCUUUACCAGAUUGUGAGUUUCUGUUUUCUCUGCCACACGUAUGGCUAGCCUUGGAGGCUUUCCAUGUCACCAUCAAUAAUAACACGAGGCCGGGUGUGGUGGCUCACACCUGUAAUCCCAGUACCCAGCCAAGGCGGGUGCAUCACUUGAGGUCAGGAGUUUGAGGCCAGUGUGGCCAACAUGGUGAAACCCUGUCUCUACUAAAAAUACAAAAUUUGCUGGGCGUGGUGGCUUCUGCCUGUAGUCCCAGCUACUUGGGAGGCUGAGGCAGGAGAAUCACUUAAACCUGGAAGGCAGAGGUUGCAGUAAGCCAAGAUCAUGCCAUUGCACUCCAGCCUGGGCAACAAGAGCAAGACUCUGUCUCAAAAUAAAUAAAUAAAAUAGUAAUAACCCAAAUUGUGUGUCUUUCCAUGAGCAGCCCUUUCUUGCAUUUGGCUCUGCAUUGGUGCUGUGCAGAAGGCACUAGGACUAUCCUUAGACCCCAGAAAGAGGAGCCCACACUUAUGAGUUCCAAGAGGACCCCCUCUUGUGGCUGCACACCUUCAACACAAGGUCAUAUACACAUUCCACAGGGUCCAAGGGAUGUGCCCAACCUAAGCCAGAGCCCUGCAGCUUCCAAAUUGAACCCUGGGUACCCCAGGCCCCAGACUCCCUGCCUGUGGGCCUUUCCCCCAUUCAUUCUGCUGAGGGCGGAGAGGUGUACUGGUGUUUACCCAGGCUUAAGGGUGGACAAGGGGGCUGUGCUUGGGGGCUGAGCUUGAAUGGAAGGUGGGUUGUCCCCCUGUAUGGCCCAGAGCUGCUUAAGGGGGAUGACAGAGCUGGGAAUGGCGGGAGAAGAGGGGUGAGGGGAAGGCCACAGGCCAGGGCCUCAGAUGGGGGCUGGCACUCCCCAGCCACCACUUGCAGAAUCCAGCUCCAAGGAGCCUGGGAAUUUUACAUUCUAAGCUGGCCUCUAGCUCACCAUGAAAAUAAGCACGCCAAGGUGGGAGGGCGGGGUAGCUUGUCCUUAACAGCAUACUAGCCCAACAUGUAACUUUUCAACAAUGAGACAGUAUUUGCAGCAUUUGUCGUCUCGGGGUAGAACUCUGCCCCUGUCAGGGGUGUCCUGGUGUCAUCCCAGUGGUUUUCUUGACCACUGACCCACAGAGGACAACACAUUUGUCAAAUAAGGAAGGUGCUGGGCCUGAGCCUUUCAAUACACAAGUGUAGAAUAACAGGCUGAAAGGCUACAAAUAGCAUCAAAGCACGAGGGAUGAUAAUGCCUCUAGAGACCAGGUUCAAGUUCCCAUGGGACAAGUCACCUCCGCCCUUGCUGCCCAAUGUGGAUAUUAGCUUCUCUUCUCCCCAGGGCCUGUCUAGGCUCCCCCUUGGUAGCCUGGACCUUUCUCUUCCCUUCCCACACUCCAGAAUGUCUCUUCCCUUCCCACACUCCACACCCAGGCCCAGGUCAGGCACCU